rnacentral:rRNA from 1 species
CCUUGACAUGCCACUAACGAAGCAGAGAUGCAUUAGGUGCCCGUAAGGGAAAGUGGACACAGGUGCUGCAUGGCUGUCGUCAGCUCGUGUCGUGAGAUGUUGGGUUAAGUCCCGCAACGAGCGCGGGGGGGGGCAUUAAUCGCCAUCAUUGAGUUGGGCACUUUAAUGGGACUGAAAAAAGACAAACCGGAGGAAGGUGGGGAUGACGUCAAGUCCUCAUGGCCCUUAUGGCCAGGGCUUCACACGUAAUACAAUGGUCGGUACAGAGAGUUGCCAACCCGCGAGGGGGAGCUAAUCUCAGAAAGCCGAUCGUAGUCCGGAUUGUUCUCUGCAACUCGAGAGCAUGAAGUCGGAAUCGCUAGUAAUCGCGGAUCAGCAUGUCGCGGUGAAUUUUUCGUAAAAGGCCUUGUACACACCGCCCGUCACACCAUGGGAGUGGGUUUUACCAGAAGUAGGUAG